CCACGCAGAGAAAUUCAUCAUCUCCACUAAUGUCCUGGCUUGAAGCAAUGGGCAGGUGAGUUUUCAGCUCAUCAACUUCAAAAAUUGCUAUGCAAUCAGGGGCCUAAAGAGUAAAUUAAAAUCAGUGCCAAUAAAAUUAAAACUACUUUGGGGCAUAUUUGCAACUUAAUUUAGUGUGGAGUUUGCUUCCACCUAGACACCAGGGAGGAAAUGGGUUUUCUUUCUCUAUUCUGAGCUGCUACCCUGCUUCAUCUCACUUGGCACAGGCCAAAACCUGAGCUUGGUGCUCUGAUGUGGGGCUGUAUCCUUCACAUUUCGGCAGCACUUCGGAGUUUAUCACAAAUUCAGUUCAGUGAAGGAAGGACCAUCUAGGGCAAUCCAACCCAGGAAGGACAGAGGAGUUUUAUCUCAGGUUUGGAGACGCCAUGGGGAAGAAACUGAAGCUUAGGCAGGAAUAACCGCAAGUUGAGCAGGGUGAGCUUUGUUAUUAUUUCUGUUUUACAGAGGAGGAAAUGGAAGCUCAGAGAGCUCAAGUAACUUGCCCAGCAUUAUGCAGCAAGAUGUGGCAGAGUCAGGACUGAAACCCAGGCCUCUGGCUAUAAACUCUCCAUGUCCUGUACCCUGCUGUCCUCACAGGAGCUUGCAGCCUAGCAAAGCAAUUACUUGAUUACAGUAAGGCAAACCCCAUGCAGAUUC
rnacentral:lncRNA from 1 species